rnacentral:rRNA from 1 species
AUUGAACGCUGGCGGCAGGCUUAACACAUGCAAGUCGAGCGGGGGAAGGUAGCUUGCUACCGGACCUAGCGGCGGACGGGUGAGUAAUGCUUAGGAAUCUGCCUAUUAGUGGGGGACAACAUCUCGAAAGGGAUGCUAAUACCGCAUACGUCCUACGGGAGAAAGCAGGGGAUCUUCGGACCUUGCGCUAAUAGAUGAGCCUAAGUCGGAUUAGCUAGUUGGUGGGGUAAAGGCCUACCAAGGCGACGAUCUGUAGCGGGUCUGAGUGGAGGAUCCGCCACACUGGGACUGAGACACGGCCCAGACUCCUACGGGAGGCAGCAGUGGAGAAUAUUGGACAAUGGGUGGAACCCUGAUCCAGCCAUGCCGCGUGUGUGAAGAGGGCCUUAUGGUUGUAAAGCACUUUAAGCGAGGAGGAGGCUACUCUAGUUAAUACCUAGUGAUAGUGGACGUUACUCGCAGAAUAAGCACCGGCUAACUCUGUGCCAGCCGCCGCCGUAA